rnacentral:rRNA from 1 species
AUGGAGCACGAAUUUCCAGACGGGUUCAAACCCAUCAAGGUCGAAUCAUACGAUGGAACAACAGAUCCCGCAGUAUGGAUUGAAGACUAUCUCCUCCAUAUCCACCUGGCUCGCGGAGACGACCUUCAUGCCAUUAAAUACCUGCCUCUCAAGCUUAAGGGGCCCGCACAGUACUGGCUAAACAGUUUGACAGAAAAUUAUGUUGGCAGCUGGGAAGAUUUGGAAAAUGCCUUUCGUGACAACUUCCAAGGAAUAUAUGUCCGGCCGCCAGAUGCCGACGACUUAAGUCAUAUUGUCCAACAGCCCGGCAAGUCAGCCAGGGAGCUCUGGACCAGGUUCUUAGUCAAAAAGAACCAAAUUGUCGACUGUCAGGACGCGGAAGCCCUCGUGGCCUUCAAACAUAGCGUCCGGGAUGAAUGGCUAGCACGCCACCUCGGCCAGGAAGGACCUAAAUCCAUGACCGCCCUUACCGCUCUAAUGACUCGCUUUUGUGCGGGAGAAGACAACUGGCUCGCUCGUAAAAGCAACAACGCCAGCGACCCAGGCACUUCCGAAAUCCGAGACGGCAACGGCAAGCCACGACUAACCGAACACAACAGUCGCAACAAUAAUGAAGGAUUACGCGACACAGCGGUCAACGCCGGAUUUCACAAUCUGAAGCCCGGUCAACGGAAGAAGCCAUUUAAGGCCAGCCAGGAUGGACCAUCCGCCCUCGACAGGAUACUGGACCGACCUUGUCAGAUUCACAGUCACCCUGAUAAGCCAGCCAAUCAUACCAACAGAAACUGUUGUGUCUUUAAGCAGGCAUGCAAACUUAACGCCGAAUACAAGGGGAGGAGGCCACCAAGCGAUAAAGACGACGGAGCGGCUCGCCAGCCGAACACCAGGGGCCAGAAACAGUUUCCCUCCAACGUUCGACCACUACCGGAGCAGAAAUAG